AAGUCGUAACAAGGUUUCCGUAGGUGAACCUGCGGAAGGAUCAUUAAAUAAUCAAUAAUUUUGGCUUGUCCAUCAUUAUCUAUUUACUGUGAACUGUAUUAUUACUUGACGCUUGAGGGAUGUUCCAUUGCUAUAAGGAUAGGCAUUGGAAAUGUUAACCGAGUCAUAAUCAAGCUUAGGCUUGGUAUCCUAUUAUUAUUUACCAAAAGAAUUCAGAAUUAAUAUUGUAACAUAGACGUAAAAAAUCUAUAAAACAACUUUUAACAACGGAUCUCUUGGUUCUC
rnacentral:misc_RNA from 1 species